rnacentral:rRNA from 1 species
GGCUCAGAGUGAACGCCGGCGGCGUGCCUAACACAUGCAAGUCGAACGGGUGUUUAGCUGUAGCAAUACAGUCAAACAUUAGUGGCAAACGGGUGAGUAACACAUGGGCGACCUACCUUUAAGAGGAAAAUAACCCCGGGAAACCGGGGCUAAUGUUCCAUAAGACCACGAUUCUUCCUACGAAGAGUUGAGGUCAAAGUUCCGCAAGGGACGCUUAAAGACGGGCCCGUGGCCUAUCAGCUAGUUGGUGAGGUAACGGCCCACCAAGGCUAAGACGGGUAGCCGACCUGAAAGGGUGAUCGGCCACACUGGAACUGAGACACGGUCCAGACUCCUACGGGAGGCAGCAGUGGGGAAUUUUGGACAAUGGGGGCAACCCUGAUCCAGCAACGCCGCGUGAAGGAUGAAGGUCUUCGGAUUGUAAACUUCUUUUGUAGGGGAAGAAACGGUUAAUGAAGAAUUGACCGCGACGGUACUCUGCGAAUAAGCCACGGCUAACUUCGUGCCAGCAGCCGCGGUAAUACGAAGGUGGCAAGCGUUACUCGGAAUUACUAGGCGUAAAGCGCAGGUAGGUGGUUGGAUAAGUCCGUAAUGAAAGCUCCUGGCCUAACCGGGAGAGGUUUAAGGAUACUGUCCGACUCGAGUGUGGGAGAGGUGACUGGAAUUCCUGGUGUAGCGGUGAAAUGCGUAGAUAUCAGGAGGAACACCAACGGCGAAAGCAGGUCACUGGCCCAAUACUGACGCUGAGCUGCGAAAGCUAGGGGAGCAAACAGGAUUAGAUACCCUGGUAGUCCUAGCCGUAAACGAUGUAGACCAGAUGUGGGGGGUAUCGACCCCCUCCGCGUCGACGCUAACGCAUUAAGUCUACCGCCUGGGGAGUACGGCCGCAAGGUUGAA